GGGUGAUGGCGUGCCUUUUGUAGAAUGAACCGGCGAGUUACGUUUGCAAGCAAGGUUAAGGUGAGAAGCCGUAGCCGCAGCGAAAGCGAGUCUGAAUAGGGCGAAAUAGUUUGUAGGCGUAGACCCGAAACCGUGUGAUCUACCCCUGUCCAGGGUGAAGGUGCGGUAACACGCACUGGAGGCCCGAACCCACGAAUGUUGAAAAAUUCGGGGAUGAGGUGGGGGUAGCGGAGAAAUUCCAAUCGAACUCGGAGAUAGCUGGUUCUCCCCGAAAUAGCUUUAGGGCUAGCCUCGGGAGAUGCGUCGUGGAGGUAAAGCACUGAUUGGGUGCGGGGCCCGCCAAGGGUUACCAAGUCCAGUCAAACUCUGAAUGCCACAGACGUUAUCCCGGGAGUCAGACAGUGAGUGCUAAGAUCCAUUGUCAAGAGGGAAACAGCCCAGAUCAUCAGCUAAGGUCCCCAAGUGUGUGUUAAGUGGGAAAGGAUGUGGAGUUGCACAGACAACCAGGAUGUUGGCUUAGAAGCAGCCACCAUUGAAAGAGUGCGUAAUAGCUCACUGGUCGAGUGACUCUGCGCCGAAAAUGUAACGGGGCUAAACACACCACCGAAGCUAUGA
rnacentral:rRNA from 1 species